rnacentral:rRNA from 4 species
AUUGCAGAACACAUUGAACAUCGACACCUUGAACGCAUAUGGCGGCCUCGGGUCCAUCCCGAGGCCACGCCCGUCUGAGGGUCGGCG